GAGAUGAUUCGGACGGCCGCCCGCUCAGGCGGGAGGAAAGUCCGGACUUCACAGAGCACGGCAACCCGUUGUUAAAGCGGGGGGCUCCGCAAACCUUUUGGCGAGCGGAGUACGGAAAGUGGCACAGAAACCAGGUACGGGCCCGCGUAAUGCGGGUGCCGUAGUGAAAAGGCUAAACCCUGCCGGAAGCAAGGCCAAGCAGUCCCGUUGUUUUUCUUCGCGGAAAAACGCAAGCUGCUCGUUUGGAAUACGGGACGGGUAGGCCGCAUAGAUGAAUGGCCGUUAGAACAGAAUCCGGCUUAUGGAAUCAUCUCCCCG
rnacentral:RNase_P_RNA from 1 species